UACGGAGGGUGCAAGCGUUAUCCGGAUUCACUGGGUUUAAAGGGUGCGUAGGAGGGCAGGUAAGUCCGCGGUGAAAUCUUCAAGCUUAACUUGGAAACUGCCGUUGAUACUAUCUGUCUUGAAUAUCGUGGAGGUGAGCGGAAUAUGUCAUGUAGCGGUGAAAUGCUUAGAUAUGACAUAGAACACCAAUUGCGAAGGCAGCUUGCUACACGAAUAUUGACUCUGAGGCACGAAAGCGUGGGGAUCAAACAGG
rnacentral:rRNA from 1 species